rnacentral:rRNA from 1 species
ACAUAGCAAGUCGAACGGAGCGAAUGAAAGCUUGCUUUUAUAAGCUAGUGGCAAACGGGUGAGUAACACGUAGACAACCUGCCGACAGGAUGGGGACAACAUUCCGAAAGGAAUGCUAAUACCGAAUGAAGUGCAGGGGAGGCAUCUCCCCUGCAUGAAAGAUGGCCUCUAUAUAUAUGCUAUCACCUGUUGAUGGGUCUGCGUCUGAUUAGCUGGUAGGUGAGGGUAACGGCUCACCUAGGCGACGAUCAGUAGCCGGUCUGAGAGGAUGAACGGCCACAUUGGGACUGAGACACGGCCCAGACUCCUACGGGAGGCAGCAGUGGGGACUCUUCCGCAAUGGGCGCAAGCCUGACGGAGCAACGCCGCGUGAGUGAAGAAGGUCUUCGGAUCGUAAAGCUCUGUUGAUGGGGACGAACGUGCCUAAUGCGAAUAGUUUUAGGCAAUGACGGUACCCAUCGAGGAAGCCACGGCUAACUACGUG